rnacentral:miRNA from 1 species
UAGCUUAUCAGACUGAUUUUGA